rnacentral:rRNA from 1 species
AGUGAACGCUGGCGGUAGGCCUAACACAUGCAAGUCGAACGGCAGCACAGUAAGAGCUUGCUCUUACGGGUGGCGAGUGGCGGACGGGUGAGGAAUACAUCGGAAUCUACUUUUUCGUGGGGGAUAACGUAGGGAAACUUACGCUAAUACCGCAUACGACCUACGGGUGAAAGCAGGGGAUCUUCGGACCUUGCGCGAUUGAAUGAGCCGAUGUCGGAUUAGCUAGUUGGCGGGGUAAAGGCCCACCAAGGCGACGAUCCGUAGCUGGUCUGAGAGGAUGAUCAGCCACACUGGAACUGAGACACGGUCCAGACUCCUACGGGGGGCAGCAGUGGGGAAUAUUGGGCAAUGGGCGAAAGCCUGAUCCAGCCAUACCGCGUGGGUGAAGAAGGCCUUCGGGUUGUAAAGCCCUUUUGUUGGGAAAGAAAAGCAGCAGGUUAAUACCCCGCUGUUCUGACGGUACCCAAAGAAUAAGCACCGGCUAACUUCGUG